rnacentral:rRNA from 1 species
CCUACGGGGGGCACCAGUGGGGAAUAUUGCACAAUGGGCGCAAGCCAGAUGCAGCCAUGCCGCGUGUGAAGAAGGCCUUCGGGUUGUAAAGCACUUUCAGCGGGGAGGAAGGCGCCAAGGUUAAUAACCUUGGUGAGUGACGUCACCCGCAGAAGAAGCACCGGCUAACUCCGUGCAGCAGCCGCGGUAAUACGGAGGGUGCAAGCGUUAAUCGGAAUUACUGGGCGUAAAGCGCACGCAGGCGGUCUGUCAAGUCGGAUGUGAAAUCCCCGGGCUCAACCUGGGAACUGCAUUCGAAACUGGCAGGCUAGAGUCUUGUAGAGGGGGGUAGAAUUCCAGGUGUAGCGGUGAAAUGCGUAGAGAUCUGGAGGAAUACCGGUGGCGAAGGCGGCCCCCUGGACAAGACUGACGCUCAGGUGCGAAAGCGUGGGGAGCAAACAGGAUUAGAUACCCCCGUAGUC